UACGGAGGAUGCAAGCGUUAUCCGGAAUGAUUGGGCGUAAAGCGUCCGCAGGUGGCUAUGUAAGUCUGCUGUUAAAGAGUGAGGCUCAACCUCAUAAGAGCAGUGGGAACUACAUGGCUAGAGUGCGUUCGGGGCAGAGGGAAUUCCUGGUGUAGCGGUGAAAUGCGUAGAGAUCAGGAAGAACACCGGUGGCGAAAGCGCUCUGCUAGGCCGCAACUGACACUCAUGGACGAAAGCUAGGGGAGCGAAUGGG
rnacentral:rRNA from 1 species